rnacentral:rRNA from 1 species
AUACGGAGGAUGCGAGCGUUAUCCGGAUUUAUUGGGUUUAAAGGGAGCGUAGGUGGGAUAUUAAGUCAGCUGUGAAAGUUUGGGGCUCAACCUUAAAAUUGCAGUUGAUACUGGUUUCCUUGAGUACGGUACAGGUGGGCGGAAUUCGUGGUGUAGCGGUGAAAUGCUUAGAUAUCACGAUGAACUCCGAUCGCGAAGGCAGCUCACCGGGCCGGAACUGACACUGAUGCUCGAAAGUGCGGGUAUCAAACAGGAUUAGAUUCCCUUGUAGUCCGCACAGUAAACGAUGAAUACUCGCUGUUUGCGAUACACGGUAAGCGGCCAAGCGAAAGCGUUAAGUAUUCCACCUGGGGAGUACGCCGGCAACGGUGAAACUCAAAGGAAUUGACGGGG